UACAGAGACUGCAAGCGUUAUUCGGAUUCACUGGGCGUAAAGGGUGCGCAGGCGGCCAAGUGUGUGAGGCGUGAAAGCCUGGGGCUUAACUCCAGAAUUGCACCUCAAACUACAUGGCUAGAGCAUUGGAGAGGGUAGCAGAAUUCACGGUGUAGCAGUGAAAUGCGUAGAUAUUGGGAGGAACACCAGUGGCGAAGGCGGCUCACUGGACCGGUACUGACGCUGAGGCGCGAAAGCGUGGGGAGCGAACAGG
rnacentral:rRNA from 1 species